GAUUUCUGGCAUGGUGCGCCUGGUCCGCCUCUUUCUAGAGUGUGAGUACCGGUGCGUGCCUGCCAUCCUUCUGGGGAGGGCUGCUACCUUUUACUAGGCUGGCAGUUCGACCUAGAUCGUUUACUUUGAAAAAAUUAGAGUGUUUAAAGCAGGCAUAUUGCUCUGAAUACAUUAGCAUGGAAUAAUAAGAUAGGACUUUGGUUCUAUUUUGUUGGUUUCUAGGACUGAAGUAAUGAUUGAUAGGGAUAGUUGGGGGUGCUAGUAUUGAAUGGCCAGAGGUGAAAUUCUUGGAUUCAUUCAAGACUAACUUAUGCGAAAGCAUU
rnacentral:rRNA from 1 species